CACGUUUAAUCACAGCCAUCAGAUUCUCCUGAUCCAACGACCUCGGAGUGUUCUUCAGUUUGAUAAAUAUGUCAGAAUUUCUUUUAACCCUAAAUGACCAACAUUCAUCUUCCUCGUACUGAACUGGUAGCACCGCCGGAGUCGUCGCCGCCGAUGAACGUUACCACCUCCGUCGCCUCCCAAAAUAACACCCCAAACUCCAUUUUCACCCUAUUUCCGAAUAUGCAAAUGGCUUCCCUCGAAUCUACCCAGAAAGAUUCGAAUAUCCGUUCGAAGAUUUUUCGGUCACGACGUCAUUUAUCCCUAAUGGCACCAAAUUAACAUCCUGGGGUCACCUGAGUCUGCUUUACCCAACCCCUCUAACCUUGUCCCUCGAAUAUGGCAGGAAAUGCUCAAAUGUCAAUUUUUAGUUUUCCGGCCAAAACCUUAGGUGCUCUGAAAUGAUUCAAAUGGGUGCUACAAGGUCCCCGUGCUUCCUUAGUAAGGUUUCUACUGUUGUCAGCACUCGAAUUUCACCAGACGGGGUCGAAUUGAGACUAUGAGGCGUGGUCGGGUUUUAGUGAGUUCUUUUCUUCUUUUGAUUGUUAUUUAAUUUUUGUUUGUUUUGCAUGUGAUUAAUGAAUGUUUGCAAGUUAGUUUCCGGUUCUUUCUUAGUUUUCAUUAUUUUUGAAUCCUUUCUGCUUCUUAGAUAUUGAUCGUAAUUAGUUAAAGUCAGUUGAUUUGGGUUCAUAUAUUGAUGCAUAAUCAUUUAGUUUUUGGAUUGUUAGUUGUUAAUUGAAAAUUCAUGGUUAGUUUAGUGGAAUUUUUCAAUAGUAAUUGCUUUCAUUAGUUUGUAGUAUUGGUUCAGUUUAAGAAUAUCAGGCAGUAGUUUAAUGUUUUAUGUCAGGGUUAGUAAUAAUUAAAUAUCAGUAUAGUAUAAGGUUAGUUUACGGAUUUCAAUGAAAGAGAAUUUUCUAGAAGCUUCUGGAGAGGGGGUAAAAUUAGAAUUUCAGAGAAUGAGUAUACUUGCUUGAGUCAAGUGAACAAAUAAGGGGUUUAAAAGUUGAAAAUAGGGAGGGACUAAAAGAAAAAACAAAAAGCUGAUUGCUCACCUCUUUGGUGCCUCUAAAAGGGCACUCAAAUGCCUUGGUGAGGGGUUCCUUUCAGCCAUCAAAAAGAGGCCAAAAAUCUUCUUUUCUUUUAAUUUUCAGAUUUGCAUUUGUGAAAUUCAAACUUUCAAAAAUCCAAAAAUAUUAGAAAAUAAAAAAAGGAAAAGAAAAAAGCAUAUUACUGUUACAUUGCUUUUCCCGUCAUUCUCAAAUCCCUUUUUUUUCUUGAUUUUUGAGCUAAAUUCGAGUCCUAAAGGUUCUGAAGAUCUCCUAGUAGUUUAAUUUGAGUGCAUUGGUCCAGUUAAGGGGGUUUCAGUUUGAGUUUUGUGGCACUAGGGGUUCAAGAGAAGUUCGAGCUAAGCUUUGAGCUUUUAUGAGUUUGUUCAAGUUGGUUUUGGAAUGAUUUCCUAAGCCUUUUGUUAGCCGCUGAAUAACUGGUUUUUUUGAAAUUGUUCCUGGGCUGUUGGUUAUUCACAUUGCUGGAAUUAGUCGUUGCUGCUACUGUUGCAUUGAUGUAGCUGAUCUUUUCUUUUCUGUUUAUAUUUCAAUCUCCAGGUACACACUUUUGAGCUUGAAUCCAUGCAGUGUAUUCAGUUGAAAAAUGAAAUGAAAAUGGAGCUUGAUUUUGUUAGAGGCUUCAUUAGUUGUCAUAUUUUCAUUAUCCUUUAUUGUAACAAAUUAGUUGUAUUGGAAUGUUGAUUUGUUUGGACUGUGUGAUUUAUUAGGAACAUGCUUAUGUGGAAAUGAAUACUGGAAUCAACUUCACAAUUUAAUUAGUCACUUUAGAUAGCCUCACAUGACUAAUUGUUCUAAAUCUACUUGAUGUGCGAAAUUGAAUUUGUAUUCUCGAGUGAGCAUGUGGAUGGAAUCUGAUAAUGAAUAUUCCUAUUUGCCAAGUUA
rnacentral:lncRNA from 1 species